UGGGGAAUAUUGCACAAUGGGGGAAACCCUGAUGCAGCGACGCCGCGUGAGUGAAGAAGUAAUUCGUUAUGUAAAGCUCUAUCAGCAGGGAAGAAGAAGGACGGUACCUGAGUAAGAAGCCCCGGCUAACUACGUGCC
rnacentral:rRNA from 1 species